AGUGAACGCUGGCGGUAGGCCUAACACAUGCCAGUCGAACGGCAGCACAGUAAGAGCUUGCUCUUACGGGUGGCGAGUGGCGCACGGGUGAGGAAUACAUCGGAAUCUACUUUUUCGUGGGGGAUAACGUAGGGAAACUUACGCUAAUACCGCAUACGACCUACGGGUGAAAGCAGGGGAUCUUCGGACCUUGCGCGAUUGAAUGAGCCGAUGUCGGAUUAGCUAGUUGGCGGGGUAAAGGCCCACCAAGGCGACGAUCCGUAGCUGGUCUGAGAGGAUGAUCAGCCACACUGGAACUGAGACACGGUCCAGACUCCUACGGGAGGCAGCAGUGGGGAAUAUUGGACAAUGGGCGCAAGCCUGAUCCAGCCAUACCGCGUGGGUGAAGAAGGCCUUCGGGUUGUAAAGCCCUUUUGUUGGGAAAGAAAAGCAGCAGGUUAAUACCCCGCUGUUCUGACGGUACCCAAAGAAUAAGCACCGGCUAACUUCGUG
rnacentral:rRNA from 1 species